AUUGAACGCUGGCGGCAGGCCUAACACAUGCAAGUCGAGCGGAUGAAGGGAGCUUGCUCCUGGAUUCAGCGGCGGACGGGUGAGUAAUGCCUAGGAAUCUGCCUGGUAGUGGGGGAUAACGUCCGGAAACGGGCGCUAAUACCGCAUACGUCCUGAGGGAGAAAGUGGGGGAUCUUCGGACCUCACGCUAUCAGAUGAGCCUAGGUCGGAUUAGCUAGUUGGUGGGGUAAAGGCCUACCAAGGCGACGAUCCGUAACUGGUCUGAGAGGAUGAUCAGUCAGAAUGUAAGGGAAACACGGUCACGACGCGGAGGGGAGGCAGCAGUGGUAAAAGUUGGCAGACGGGAGGACUGAGGCGCCAGCCAGGGGGGUGUGGGGAAGAAGGUUGUGUGAUUGUAAAGCACUUUAUGGUGGGAGGAAGGACAGUAAUUUAAUACCUGUCUUGUUGGACGACAACAACAGAAGAAGCACCGGCUAACUCCGCGCCAGCGGCCGCGGUAAUACGCGGAAGAGCAAACGUCUGACC
rnacentral:rRNA from 1 species